rnacentral:lncRNA from 1 species
GGAAGGGGAGGCUGGAGAGGAGCGAGUUGGGGAAACCCGCGUAGCCGAGGGAGAUGCAGCGCGCGGCGAUGGUGGCAUGUGGAGCCUCCCACCACCACCUAGGUCCUGAGAUGCAGUGAAGCCCAGCCUGUCUGCCAUCAUCCCCCAGCAUGGACCGCGGGAGCCUCCUGCCCUUCCAGCUAUGGUGCCCCCGGCCCUUUGGCACCUACUCACAGAACCAGCCACGCCCGCCUUCUGCGGCCCUCAAGCCAUCAGCCUGCCCUGAGCCUGGUGGCGGGGCCGAGCCAGACCAUGGGCCUGCCCACUCAGAGAACACACCACCUGCCUUGGCCACUGAGGUCCCUGCCUCCCAGCCGGCUCCGCUCCUCUCAGCAGCAGCUGCUGGUGAUGAGGGUCGCGUCCUCCUGGACACGUGGUAUGUCAUCAAGCCCGGGAAUACAAAGGAGAAGGUGGCCUUCUUUGUGGCCCACCAGAGGGGUGGGGGCAGCCGGGCC